AGACUCUGUUUCAAAAAAGAAAAAAAUCAGUAAGAUAUAGAAGAUUGAAAAACAUGAUUAACUAACUUGGUCCAUAAAAUAUUGCACCAACAAUAUAGAAAACACAUUCUUUUCAAGUACACUAAUAUGGUUUGGAUUUGUGUCCCCACCCAAAUCUCAUGUCAAAUUGUAACCACCAUUGUUGUGGGAGGGGCCUGGUGGGAGGUGAUUGAAUCAUGGAGGCAGACUUCCCCCUUGCUGUGCUCAUGAUAAGGAAUGAGUUCUCAUGAGACCUGGUUGCUUAAAAGUGGUCCAUAAAAUAUUGCACCAACAAUAUAGAAAACACAUUCUUUUCAAGUACACUAAUAUGGUUUGGAUUUGUGUCCCCACCCAAAUCUCAUGUCAAAUUGUAACCACCAUUGUUGUGGGAGGGGCCUGGUGGGAGGUGAUUGAAUCAUGGAGGCAGACUUCCCCCUUGCUGUGCUCAUGAUAAGGAAUGAGUUCUCAUGAGACCUGGUUGCUUAAAAGUGUGUGGCACCUCUCCCCUCUCUCUCUCUUCCUCCUGCUCCAGCCAUGUAAGACGUGACUCCUUCCUCUUCACCUUCCACUAUGAUUGUAAAUUUCCUGUGGCCUCCCCAGCCAUGCUUCCUGUACACGGUGUGGAACCAUGAGCCAAUUAAACCUCUUUUCUUUAUAAAUUAUCCGGUCUCGGGUAGUUCUUUAUAGCAAUGCAAGAACAGACUAAUACAUACACACAGAACAUUUAUCCAAGUAGACCAUGUUUUGGGCCACAAACAAGUCUUCACAAAUUUCAAGGGAUUGAAAUCAAACAGGACAUGUUCUCUAAACAUUGUGGGAUAGAAAAAUAAACUCAAAAGAAAGGAGAGGAAAGAAAAUAAUAAGAAAAAAGCAAAAAUCAAUGAUAUCAAAAAUAAAUCUAUGCUGGAAAAAAUCCACAAAGACAAGAAUUGAUUUUUUGAGAAGAAUAAUAAAAUUGAUAAACUCCUAGCAACUAAUCCAUAACAAAGAAAACACAAAUUGUCAUCUUUAUGAAUAAAAUAAGGGAUAUCACUACAUAUCCUACAGACAUUAAAAAUGUGAAAAGAUACUAUGAACAACCUUAUGUCAACAAACUAAAAAUAGAGAUUUUCCAAGGAAAAAGUCCUUGGAAAGCACAAUUUACCAAAACUGAUACAAGAAAUAGAAAAUUUGAAUGGUUAUACAAUUAUUAACUAUUCAAUAGUUAAAUAAAUUAACUGGUCAACUGUUAAAUAAAUUGAAUCAAUUAUUAAAAGGCUUCUACUGAGAAAACAUCAAGGCCAUAUGGUUUUGGUCUCAGAUUGGUUUCCCUGGAAACAGAUUCUGAGAUGCUGAAUUUCAUGCAGGAGUGGGAGACACAUCUGUAGGAAACUGGUGUUUCUGACAGGAUUGGCCAGAAAUAAAAACUGACUCACAAUGCAGUUGCAACCCAGGCCUCAGCCAAGCCCUAGAGCUGAGAUAACCAUUGAGAAUUGAAUCAAUUUGAGGAAAGGGGCUAGGCUUUAGUAUUCCUAUCUUAGCACCCUGAAAAUAAGCUUAAUCUUGGGUGAGGCAGUUCCCUGCAGCUGAAGGUAGCUCCCAAGGAGGAACAUGUUGUGAGCUGUCAGCAUCAGACAUUUGAGCAGUUGGAGAAAGGGUGCAUUAAACCUUAGAAGAGAUUUAGGUUGAGUACCAGAGUAUCCAAUAAGGUUGCACUGGUGAUUUUUCCAAACAUGUAAGGAAUAAAAUCUUACACAAACUCUUCCAGAGAAUAGGAAAAGAGGAAUCAAUUCUCAACUCAUUUUAUGAGGUUGACACUAAAACUUAACAAGGACAUUAGGAGAAAGGAAAAUUAUAGAUCAAUAUCACUUAUUAAUAUAUAGUCAAUAUCCUAAAUAAAAUAUAAACAAAUAGAAUCUAACAAUACAUAAAAUAAGAAAAUAUUAUUACCAAUUAGUAUGUAUUUCAGGAAUAUAAGGUUGGUUUAACAUCUGAAAUCAAGGUAUUUCAUCCACACUAACAAAAUAAAGGAGAAAAUCCAUAGGAUAAUUUCAAUAAAGAAGGAAAAGCAUUUUACAAUAUGCAACAUCUAUUCACGCCAAAAGAAAAUGUUCAGUUGGGCAAGGUGGUUCACACCUGUAAUGCCAACACUUUGGGAUUCUGAGGUGAGGAGAUCACUUGAAGCCAGGAGUUUCAGACCAGCCUGGGCAACAUAGCAAGACUCCAUCGCUACAAAAAAAUUUUUUUAAAUUAACUGGGCAUGGUGGCAUGCACCCGUAAUCUCAGCUACUCAGGAGGCUGAGGUGGGAGGAUCGCUUGAUCCCAGGAGUUCAAGGCUGUUAAGCUAUGAUCCCACUAGUAAACUGUAGCCUGAGUGACAGAGCAAGACCCUCUCGAAAGAAAGAAAGAAAGGAAGGAAGGAAGGAAGGAAGGAAAGAAAAAAGGAAGGAAGGAAGGAAGGAGAGUUCUCAGCAGACUAAACAGAAGAAAAAUU
rnacentral:lncRNA from 1 species